rnacentral:rRNA from 1 species
CCAAUAGCGUAUAUUAAAGUUGUUGCAGUUAAAAAGCUCGUAGUUGAAUUUCGGGGUUCUACCGUUGGUCGGGCAAUAGUCUGUACUGGCGUGUAGAAUUUCUACCUUCUGGGGAACUAUCAUGUUAUUUAUUUAGCGUGGUGGGAAACCAGGACCUUUACCUUGAAAAAAUUAGAGUGUUCAAAGCAGGCUUACGUCUGAAUACAUUAGCAUGGAAUAAUAAAAUAGGACGGUGGUCCUGUUUUGUUGGUUUCUGAAUCACCGUAAUGAUUAAUAGGGAUAGUUGGGGGCAUUAGUAUUCAAUUGUCAGAGGUGAAAUUCUUGGAUUUAUUGAAGACUAACUUCUGCGAAAGCAUUUGCCAAGGAUGUUUUCAUUAAUCAAGAACGAAAGUUAGGGGAUCGAAGACGAUCAGAUACCGUCGUAGUCUUAACCAUAAACUAUGCCGACUAGGGAUCGGACGAUGUUAAUUUUUCUUGACUCGUUCGGCGCCUUACG